UACGUAGGGUGCAAGCGUUAAUCGGAAUUACUGGGCGUAAAGCGUGCGCAGGCGGUUAUGCAAGACAGAUGUGAAAUCCCCGGGCUCAACCUGGGAACCGCAUUUGUGACUGCAUAGCUAGAGUACGGUAGAGGGGGAUGGAAUUCCGCGUGUAGCAGUGAAAUGCGUAGAUAUGCGGAGGAACACCGAUGGCGAAGGCAAUCCCCUGGACCUGUACUGACGCUCAUGCACGAAAGCGUGGGGAGCAAACAGG
rnacentral:rRNA from 1 species